AAACGUCAGCGUCCGGGCCGAUUACGUCGUCGCCAGAACAGAUGGCAACUUCAUCUGCGCCACCGUCGACUGGUGGCCGCCCGAGAAGUGUGACUUCGGCGAUUGCUCCUGGGGAAGUACCUCCAUCAAAAAUUUGGAUCUGAGCAACAAAAUCCUUCGUAAUGCAAUCACGGCCUUUGGUACGAUGAGAGUUCGACUCGGAGGGACGUUGCAGGACCAAGUGAAGUACACGAGCAAACCAUGCCACGAAUUCAAAGCUGCCGACGGCG